rnacentral:pre_miRNA from 1 species
UACCUACUCCCUCCGUCCGGAAAUACUUGUCCUAGAAAUGAAUAAAAUGGAUGUAUCUAUAACUAAAAUAAGUGUAGAUACAUCCAUUUCUAGGACAAGUAUUUCCGGACGGAGGGAGUAUUUC